ACCAAUGGAGGACAGACAGGACAUUGUCGUGGUCAGGGUGUCUGACUCCCACACGAAAUGCUCUGGGUUUGAUUCCCAAUUCCCCCCCCCCCCCUACCUCUCCUUAACGACAUGUCUCCGAAGAACGACCACUCUCUCUCAGACUCUCUCAGACCGUGAGUAACUCUGGGGGAAAGUAUCUGCUUCUUGAACUAAUAAGGUAGUGUAAAGCACUUGACCCCGGCCUCGUCGCCCCUGGGGGCCCGGCUCCCUGCCUCCUGUCCCGGACUCGUUCCCAUGAUACCCCCCCCCCCCCCCCGCUGGGCCCGGUCACAGCUCCAGAGGCCCCGGGGGUAUGGGGCCAACAGCUGCUUUAAAGGCCAAAGAAGGCCAAAGGGGACAUUUUCCCAGCGUCACACACACACACACACACACACACACUCACACACAUUCCACACGGGGUCGGCUCGGCUCAGGAGGCAGUGCUUGUUGACUUGUAACCGGAAGGUUGCUAGUUAGAUUCCCGGCUCCUCCUAGCUGAGUGUCGAGGUGUCCCUGAGCAAGGCACCUCACCCUGACUGCUCCCGACGAGCUGGCUGUCCCCUGGCGUUGGUGACUCCGCUGUCGGUGUGUGUGUGUGUGUGUGUGUGUGUGUGUGUGUGUGUGUGUGUGUGUGUGUGUGUGUGUGUGUCUGGAAGUCGCUCUGGAUAAAAGCCUCUGCUAAACACACACUCACUCACUCGCUACGUAAAGCGCUUUGGGUCCCGAGAAAACACAAUAUCAACGCCAUUGAUUCUUCUUCUUCUUAUGAUCAUACGGAGCUACAGAGAAUAAUGUUCAUGUGGAGACAGAGAAACAAGUAGUGUCGUUAUACUAUCAGGACGCGGCCAUGUGAAGCUUGACCUUCUGUAGCAGCAGGCCGUGGUUAUCAGCAAUGUCCAGCGCGUCAGAGCCACUGAGAUAAGUGGGACGGGAGCCAGCCUUGGCCCGACCGACGAUUAGAUGGGCUGCUUCAGGGGCCUGACACUCAACUCCAUCCGUAUACUGUCCAGCCCUUAGCUCCACCUCAUACUGUCAACCCCGCCCUUUAUACUGUCAAACCCCGCCCUUUAUACUGUCCAACUCCGCCCUCCACCUCCUAUUGUCAACACCGCCCUUUAGACUGUCAAACCCAGCCCUCCACCUCCUAUUGUCAACACCGCCCUUUAGACUGUCAAACCCAGCCCUCCACCUCCUAUUGUCAACACCGCCCUUUAGACUGUCAAACCCCUUCCCCCACCUCAUACUGUCAACCCUACCCUUUAUACUGUCAAACCCCUACCUCCGGCUCAAACUGUCCACCCCACCCUUUAUACUGUCAAACCCCUACCUCCGGCUCAAACUGUCCACCCCACCCUUAAUACUGUCAUAAACCCUGAGGGAUAUCAUCCACUGUAAAAACGAAACUUCUCAAAACGACUCCGCUCCUCAGCCCCACAUUCUAACUGUCAAACCCCUGCCACCACUAUCCAGAAACCUCCACCAGCCACACAACGUGAAGCACUGGUCGUUUCUCCAGAUAUGAUAAUCCCACCCACGGUACCGCCCACAUAAUCACUACAAACGGAGGAACAGCUACAGCCUUGAACCACCAAAAUAGACCCCGACGCGGGCAGUUGAACGGUGGAAGCUGCCAACACACGGUAGGUUCUGUGUCUGCUCACCUGGUUAAAGAUAGAGAGGGCCACAGUGUCCUGGCAGCCUGAAUGGGCCCUCUGUUCACGCAGCACACACACAGACAGCUGUUGGUUCAGCUCUGCAGAGGCGGAGGAGAGAGUCACACACCCCUUUGCACAUAUUGUACGUUGUACGUCCUUGCCCUUACUCGCAGUACUUAUCAUCGUGCAGUAUCUUACCCUAGCUAUCUUUGUUACGUACGGCGCUUGGGUUAACCUAGCGAUUGGGAGCGAAUCGCACUUGGCUCUAUGAACAUCCUUACUGUACCCACAGCGAUAUAUUGUUGUUGACGUGAUUGUGAGUCACUUUGGAUAAAAGCGUCUGUUCAGUGUCCUAAAUAGAAAUGUCUUCACCAACGCUGUCCACGCCCCCCAAUCCCUCUCUGCUCACUGGGAGGAAUAAGGUCGAAUCAUUGGAUAAAUUACUUCAUAACACCCUAGAGGGAAAUCAAUGUGCGACUGCAGAAACACUGACGGUGACAAUAAAUACAUAUAAAACAAGAUCUGAAUUAAAAAAAAAAGUGAACAAGCAGCCAUCAUAAAACCGAAAUAGAGAGUGAAAUGGUGGAGGCAUUUGUAGCGGCUGAACCCCCAGCAGACGGGGAUUACCGGGUUUGACUCCCACAGCCUCCUGAAGGCAUCCU